rnacentral:rRNA from 1 species
AGUGAACGCUGGCGGUAGGCCUAACACAUGCAAGUCGAACGGCAGCACAGUAAGAUCUUGCUCUUACGGGUGGCGAGUGGCGGACGGGUGAGGAAUACAUCGGAAUCUACUCUUUCGUGGGGGAUAACGUAGGGAAACUUACGCUAAUACCGCAUACGACCUACGGGUGAAAGCAUGGGAUCUUCGGACCUUGCGCGAUUGAAUGAGCCGAUGUCGGAUUAGCUAGUUGGCGGGGUAAAGGCCCACCAAGGCGACGAUCCGUAGCUGGUCUGAGAGGAUGAUCGGCCACACUGGAACUGAGACACGCUCCAGACUCCUACGGGAGGCAGCAGUGGGGAAUAUUGGACAAUGGGCGCAAGCCUGAUCCAGCCAUACCGCGUGGGUGAAGAAGGCCUUCGGGUUGUAAAGCCCUUUUGUUGGGAAAGAAAAGCAGCAGGUUAAUACCACGCUGUUCUGACGGUACCCAAAGAAUAAGCACCGGCUAACUUCGUG